CUUGGAAGCAGCAUGGGAAUGGAGAUCGCCGCGAUCGGGCGAUUGGUUUUCCUCGCUCGCCAUCUCCUCCCUCCCCAAAAUCCUCUCCCGGGACCCUUAUCUGAAUCCCAUCGGUUCGUCGGAAUCGACUCCGCGGGCUCACCCUCUGUCAUGGAUAGUUUUGAACAUCGACGCCAAGCCGUACACCGACCACGCUACCGGCAACGCUGAUCCUGACUUUUCCCGUGCUUUCAGCCUUUGAGGUGAAGCAUUGAUAGACAUCGUUGGUGUGACUGCAUCCUGCUAAGAAUUAAAUCAUGAAACUUGGUGGUGAUUUGCAAGAGAGAGAGGUAUAAGCAGGCCUGAAAGUAUUUAGCAGCAAAGUACACUCAGAUUUUUUUUCCUGGCAUGAACAUCUCAUCACUCUGAAUGGAUAAGGUUGUCAAGAAAGGUUGUGGAUGGAAUUGCCUCCCCAUCCUUUGUACCUCACAUGGGAGACUUCGGAAGCAUACUUCAUUGCUGGUGCUUGUGAGAAACUCAGUGCAAACAGAAACAAGGAAGGACUCCAUUAACAAUGCUUUGAAGAGCCAUUCAUGUACCCUCCAAAAGGACCUCAAGAGACUCACUCAAGACUAUUGCACAUGAGAAACCAAGUACAAGUAGCAUCAAUAUAACUGCUAUAUCUCUACCCCAGGGAAAACCUUCUUGGACAAAUAGAAGCGUGGAAUCUUAAUUGAGUUGAAGUAGCCAGUGACCACAACAUCCUUACACAAGGUGGAAUGGAUGAGGUCCUGGCUAAGUUCAAGAAGGGCAGAGGACAGGGCAAGAAUACAUCAAAAGAAUGAUCUAAUGACAGGAAAUGUGAUCAUUAAUGAAAUUUUACAGAAAAAGAAAGAAAAGAAUCCAACUCCCAUUGGUUUCCCUUUUCUGUCUAGUUGUUGGUGUGUGAUCAUCCGAGAUGCAAAACUUCGGUUGCUAGCUCCCCGGAUAGAUAAGCAAAUGACCCAAAAGUACUGAAAGGCCUUGGAUAACUCAACCAUAUGAAUUUUGUUAUUGGAUGAAACCUUGAUAAUGCAUUUUUGCUCAGAAUAUAAAUCAAUAGAUUAUUUGUCUAAUCUAAUUACUUAAGCUUUUUGUUAUGAUUGUAGCAUCUCAA